UCGAAUGUAUCCCUACCUAACACAUUUACCAACUCUCAUUGCCAUGAGUAGAAUCAUUGUUUGGGAUAGUUGAUGACUGCCUUCCCUAUGGUAUAAUGACAUGUAGGUGCACUGUAGUAGGUUUUGCUCCUAUGAUUAGUUGUCUCUAUACCAUUGAAUGGAGAUGCAUAUGGACUCAGAUUUUGUUUUCCCUCCAUUUCCAUCCUCAAUUUGAAUUCAAAAAGAUGUCGUUGGUCUUUUAACUUCAGUGGGAGAAGAGAAAGAAUAUGCAAAAGAGGGGAAAAUUGUGAAAAUGAUUGUGCUGGAAUUAACUUCAAAAGAGUAUGUUGAUUGAGUCAUUUCUCCUGGUUUUUCUUUAUGUUUUAAUCAUCGUUUUUCCUUAUUUUCUGUUUCAUUCUUUGUCAUGUUUUGAGUUUCAGUCUUACAGUGCGAUGUGCAUUAUUUGGGGACUAUGUUAAUCAAGUAAAUCAUUUUCUUGCCUCUGGCUAUGUGGAGCAGCCUGUUUUAGUCAUUCAACUUGCAAAAGUCAAGUUCUUUAGGGGUACAUUGUUUGUUUUCUAUACAUCUCAUUGCUACUCUAGGUGUUGUCUCCAAUAAAAUUUGCUAGACUCUUUCUGUGUUGCUGUGUAAGUCAAGUAGGCCUUCAAAAUGUGAUGUAUGCCACUCAAAUGUUAUUUAAUCCUGAUCUUCCUGAAGUUGUUGAAUUCAGGCAGAGUAUGGUUGAGCAAGGUGUCAAUGGUACCCAGCCACUCUUUAUUGCAAAUGAGGGUAAAGUUGUUUCCUUGGAAGAUGAUUUCAUGCGUUUAACUAGAAAAUGCACUAUUGAAGAGCUUCAAGAUAACAAUGAGGAGGGUUCUUUUAUCAUUUUUGGUACAAUCCAAGGUAUUGUUGAGGAUGGAGGUUGGUGGUAUUCUGCUUGUGUCUGUGGAAAGGGUAUCUAU